rnacentral:rRNA from 1 species
UUAGGAACCCCGGGGAGAGCUCAGAUUGUAUAUCGGGGCCUUUGGCUUCGAAUUGUAGUCUCGAAAUGCAACGCCAACGGAGGCGCAGAUUUAAGCCCCUUGAAAGAGAGCGCCGACGAGGGUGAGAGUCCCGUUUGUCAAUCUGCAGCCCUCCGUACACGGCUUGCACUUGCAGAGUCACGUUCCUCGGGAUUGGAGCGCAAAGUGGGUGGUAAAUUUCAUCUAAAGCUAAAUACGUGUUUGAGACCGAUAGCACACAAGUACCAUGAGGGAAAGAUGAAAAGGACUUUGAAAAGAGAGUUAAAAGUGCCUGAAAUUGCUGCAAGGGAAGCGGAUGGAACCAGUCCACACGGUGAGAUUGUUGGGCGGAGGCGAAAGGAGUUACACUUUCAACGCAAGUGUGAGUGUGAGUUCUGGUCGUCUCUCGCCCGGUGGUUCUUGCCGUGGGGGUCAUUGGUGAUUGGUGGCCGAGGAUACCUGCAAAGGCAUGGUAGCCCGUCCCCGGGUGGGUGAACGCGUUUGUUAGUACUCGGCCGCUGAUCAUGUGAGUGGUGUCCGGUAACCGGCAAA